UUCAACAUCACCAGCAUCAAGUUCAGCAUCAUCAUGUUCCUCAUGCUCCUCCUCCACCGCCACCGUCGAAUUAUUAUCCAUAUCAGCCACCGCCACCACCUCCUCCACCAGAUAAUUCGUAUCAGCCACCACCACCGCCACCGGGUUCUAUGUAUUAUCCUUCUAAUAAUAAUCAAUACAAUCAUCAACAACAGCAACAACAGCCACCACCACCACCUCCGCCACCAGGUUCUUCAAUGCCACCUCCACCGCCUCCUCCAGCCUCGCCACCACCUCCUCCUCCGACAAAAAAUGAAGUAGAGAGGGUAGACAAUAAAGGGUCAUUGGGUAAACGCGACCGCGAUGGAGUUUCACAUUCGCAUAAAC
rnacentral:lncRNA from 1 species